UCCAUAGCCCUCAUGAAAGCACAUUCCAAGGUUUUAAAAUGUUCAGCUCAGUGUACUACUACAACCAACAUUUCUCAACCCAAGCUUAUCAAGGAUCUACAUUUCCUAGCUAUUUUGCUAAUAUCUUCAAAAGCUAUUAGUAAUAGUAUGUGCUUUUUAGUAAAUAUAAGAUAUCAGUGAAGACCAAAUACAAUCCAUUGAUGAAAAUUAAUAGCCGAAACACACAAUAACAAAUUUUCACAGCUCAAGGUACAUGCUCAAUAUCCAAGAAUGUUAUAAACAACCAAACCAUACAAUCUCAUGAACACAAAAUGAAAAACUACAAAUCCUAAUAACCAUCUAUGAUUACAAAUCAGUUGCACAUGU
rnacentral:lncRNA from 1 species